CCAGGGAGCUCAGGUUCAUGCAGUCCACCUGAGUGGAACGAGUGGCACCAGGAUCCACCCCUUCCCAGUCUUCAUUUAAAGGUUAGCAGUGGAGCUGAGAGCAUUUUGCCUGGAAAUCCCUGCACAGCUAAAGAUUGAAAGAUUUGAAAGACCUUACAGGCCUUUCAAAGGUCCUUCUCAACAUGGAUUUCUUUUUUUUGUUUAUUUUGGGGGGAAACAAAAGUGCUGUAUACAGAAGAACAUCUUAAAUUUGAGGAAACAGAGGCACAGUGCAUGGAAGCAACCAACAACGGAUAGCAGGCAACAUAAACAGCUGAAAGGAGAACAAAAGCUUCCAGUGUCCCAUGUGUGUGAUCUCAACAUUGAGUCAAUCUGGCAACUGCUGAGGAAGAACGUUCCAGUAUGUCCUAGAUACUUCCAUUCAAGUUCAGCAACAGGAAUCUCCAUAAUUUCUCGGAAUAAACAGGACAUUUGUUGAUCUCCCUUCAUAAAAAGCCCUGUAAUGAAGUUUCCCGCUUGAAACACGUCACCAUCUUUUUCCAAGAUAUGGGAGAUGUUGAACUGAGUGACUAAUGUAAAGGAUUGAAAGUGACAGGAAACUUAAGAAAGGAUAUGUGAACAACCAAAUAGUGAAAUACUAACAUAAGUCAUAAACUGUAGCAUUUUUUCUUUUAACCUACUAAAAUGACAAAAUCAUAGAAUUAAGAAACCUAAGUAAACCAAUUAUAUACUGUAUUGAAAUUGAGCUGGCUUUGAAUACAAAAAAAAUAAAGUGUAUAGUGGUCUCUAAUGAGAUAAAUGUUACAAAUUUAAAUUAUUUGUGGGAAGAUAUAUCUAUAAUUUCUUAAUAAGUAUUCAAAUAAAUAAAAUACUCCACCACCCCCUCUUCCCUCCUUGCCUUUCCCUUCCCUGUCUCAUCUGUGCAGUUCCCACAAAUAGGUGCAAACUCGCAAUAGCAUCUGGUUGCUGUAAAUGUAGAUGAAAAUCAGAUAAUGAAGUAUCAAUCUCCAGACUUCUGAGCAUUGGUAAGAACAAUAGGGUUGGCCUUCCAAGGAAUGUGAUCCUGAAAUUAUAGAUGUAUAAUAAUAUUGGUAUUUUGCUUGUGUAAGGAUGGAGCCAGGAACAAUUUUUUUUACUGUAUUUCAGAGAAUUUCAUAUUGUUUAUGUACUUCAAGCUUGCAUUUAGUCUGUAUUGCUGAUGUUGAUCUACAAGGAGGCUUACUUUACAGGAUGGAUCCAAGUGAAAUAUAUGAGCUCUGCUGUUGAGUUGUAUGUUGUAUGGAGUUGUAUGCAUGUUAUUGUGUUUUGCAAAAAAACAAACCCUUAUUUGUCAUUGUGAGACUGCUUUCAAUUCAUAAUUUACUAAUUUUAGUAGACAUCACAUAUUUUGGAAUAAACAUUUGUUUGCAAAUCCUUGUUAACUGUAAAGGCUUAUAGGCCAGCAGUGGUCAAUGAUUGUUAAUUCAGCUUCUGUUCGAUGAUUCAGGGCAAGCAUCAUGCUUGGCUUUGUCAAACAUGAGAAAGGGAGAGUCGUUCUAAGGAGCACUGGCUGUUGAAUGUUGCUAUAGUCAACUGCAACCUUCCUUUUGAGGAAAGCUGUUUGAGAACAUGUUUCCAGGCUCAACAUUAUGCCACUUACACACAAGCUUAUUGAAAGUCAAAUAUUCCACCAUUCAAUGCCAAGUCCUUAAUUUCACCUUAAUCCUUCAGUUUCCUUUACUGCCAUAUUUGCCUCAUGUAAUGUGUCUCCCAUCUUCAUACAGCAUUCUCCAUUGCUGUCCAAGAUCAAGAAUGUCUUAAGGGAGAACUGUGGUUAUUUUUCUUUGAUUUCUUAGGUUAACUGGCAAUAAAACACGAGCUGUGUGCUGGAUACUCUCAGGCUUGAUUAAGUUUAAAACAUGAGAUUUUUUUUUUUUUUAAGAUAGUAGCUGCAGGAAACAAUAGAAAGUGCAAAGGUAAAGGAACAAAGUGUUCCGAUAAGAUGCUUAAAAGUAGAGUGAGAGCGCCUAUUGAAUGUAAAUGUAAACAAAGCCCUGCAGCCUUCCUUUACAACGUCUAUGUUAAGUCAGUAUUUUGAGAUUGCAUCUUUCAACUAUAGUCAGUCUCUCUAUUUAGAUACAAAUCAUCCAAAACUUGUCUUGGCAAGUACAGAGCUUACCUCUACAGAGUAGGAUUUUUAUUUUAGG
ensembl:lncRNA